rnacentral:misc_RNA from 1 species
GAUGAAGAACGCAGCAAAAUGCGAUAAGUAGUGUGAAUUGCAGAAUUCAGUGAAUCAUCGAAUCUUUGAACGCACAUUGCGCCCCUUGGUAUUCCAUGGGGCAUGCCUGUUCGAGCGUCAUUUGUACCUUCAAGCUCUGCUUGGUGUUGGGUGUUUGUCUCGCCUUGCGCGUAGACUCGCCUUAAAACAAUUGGCAGCCGGCGUAUUGAUUUCGGAGCGCAGUACAUCUCGCGCUUUGCACUCAUAACGACGACGUCCAAAAGUACUUUUUACACUCUUGACCUCGGAUCAGGUAGGGAUACCCGCUGAACUUAAGCAUAUCAAUAAGCGGAGGA